CCUACCGGGAGGGCGAGCAGGUAGGGGAAUAUUGCUCAAUGGGGGAAACCCUGAAGCAGCAACGCCGCGUGGAGGAUGAAGGUUUUCGGAUUGUAAACUCCUUUUGUUAGAGAAGAUAAUGACGGUAUCUAACGAAUAAGCACCGGCUAACUCCGUGCC
rnacentral:rRNA from 1 species